rnacentral:rRNA from 1 species
UACGAAGGGGGCUAGCGUUGCUCGGAAUCACUGGGCGUAAAGCGCACGUAGGCGGCUUUUUUAAGUCAGGGGUGAAAUCCUGGAGCUCAACUCCAGAACUGUCUUUGAUACUGAGAAGCUUGAGUCCGGGAGAGGUGAGUGGAACUGCGAGUGUAGAGGUGAAAUUCGUAGAUAUUCGCAAGAACACCAGUGGCGAAGGCGGCUCUCUGGGUCCCUACCGAGCUGGGGGUGCGAAAGCAUGGGGAGCGAACAGG